rnacentral:rRNA from 1 species
UACGGGGGGUGCGAGCGUUGUCCGGAAUCACUGGGCGUAAAGGGCGCGUAGGUGGCGUGAUAAGGGUGUGGUGAAAGCCCGGGGCUCAACCCCGGGUCGGCCAUGCCGACUGUCAGGCUAGAGUGCUGUAGGGGCAGGCGGAAUUCCUGGUGUAGCGGUGGAAUGCGCAGAUAUCAGGAGGAACACCGGUGGCGAAGGCGGGUCUCUGGGCAGUAACUGACGCUGAGGAGCGAAAGCGUGGGGAGCGAACAGG